GGGGGAUAACGUUUGGAAACGAACGCUAAUACCGCAUGAUAUUAUUGAGCUGCAUGGCUUGAUAAUCAAAGGAGCAAUCCGCUGAAAGAUGGGCUCGCGUCCGAUUAGGUAGUUGGCGGGGCAACGGCCCACCAAGCCGACGAUCGGUAGCCGGACUGAGAGGUUGAACGGCCACAUUGGGACUGAGACACGGCCCAGACUCCUACGGGAGGCAGCAGUGAGGGAUAUUGGUCAAUGGGGGAAACCCUGAACCAGCAACGCCGCGUGAGGGAAGACGGUUUUCGGAUUGUAAACCUCUGUCCUCUGUGAAGAUGAUGACGGUAGCAGAGGAGGAAGCUCCGGCUAACUACGUGCCAGCAGCCGCGGUAAUACGUAGGGAGCAAGCGUUGUCCGGAUUUACUGGGUGUAAAGGGUGCGUAGGCGGCUUUGCAAGUCAGAAGUGAAAUCCAUGGGCUUAACCCAUGAACUGCUUUUGAAACUGCAGAGCUUGAGUGGAGUAGAGGUAGGCGGAAUUCCCGGUGUAGCGGUGAAAUGCGUAGAGAUCGGGAGGAACACCAGUGGCGAAGGCGGCCUGCUGGGCUCUAACUGACGCUGAGGCACGAAAGCGUGGGUAGCAAACAGGAUUAGAUACCCUGGUAGUCCACGCUGUAAACGAUGAUUACUAGGUGUGGGUGGACUGACCCCAUCCGUGCCGGAGUUAACA
rnacentral:rRNA from 1 species